GACGAACGCUGGCGGCGUGCUUAACACAUGCAAGUCGAGCGGAAAGGCCACUUCGGUGGUACUCGAGCGGCGAACGGGUGAGUAACACGUGAGUAAUCUGCCCUUGGCUUUGGGAUAGCCACCGGAAACGGUGAUUAAUACCGGAUAUGACCACUUCACGCAUGGGAUGGUGGUGGAAAGUUUUUCGGCCAGUGAUGUGCUCGCGGCCUAUCAGCUUGAUGGUGAGGUAAUGGCUCACCAUGGCUUCGACGGGUAGCCGGCCUGAGAGGGUGACCGGUCACACUGGGACUGAGACACGGCCCAGACUCCUACGGGAGGCAGCAGUGGGGAAUAUUGGACAAUGGGCGGAAGCCUGAUCCAGCAACGCCGCGUGAGGGAUGACGGCCUUCGGGUUGUAAACCUCUUUCGCCUAUGACGAAGCGCAAGUGACGGUAAUAGGUAAAGAAGCACCGGCCAACUACGUGCCAGCCGCCGCGGUAAAAC
rnacentral:rRNA from 1 species